rnacentral:rRNA from 1 species
GAUGAACGCUAGCGGCAGGCCUAACGCAUGCAAGUCGAGGGGUAACUAGAGUGAUAGCAAUAUUACUUUGGCUUGACCGGCGCACGGGUGCGUAACACGUAUGCAACCUACCUUAUACUGGGGAAUAACUUCGAGAAAUCGGCGCUAAUACCCCAUAACAUUGCGAAGAGGCAUCUCUUUGCAAUUAAAGCUCCGGCGGUAUAAGAUGGGCAUGCGUCCAAUUAGCUAGUUGGUGAGGUAACGGCUCACCAAGGCUACGAUUGGUAGGGGUUCUGAGAGGAUGAUCCCCCACACUGGUACUGAGACACGGACCAGACUCCUACGGGAGGCAGCAGUGAGGAAUAUUGCGCAAUGGACGAAAGUCUGACGCAGCCAUGCCGCGUGCAGGAUGACGGCCCUAUGGGUUGUAAACUGCAUUUGUACGGGAAUAAACCCUUCUACGUGUAGGAGGCUGAAGGUACCGUAAGAAUAAGCACCGGCUAACUCCGUGCCAGCCGCCGCGGUAAGAC